AACCAGAAAUCUGAGUGCUGAGGUUUGUGAGUCCCGCACUGCUCCAUGCCUCCGUUUCUCCAACUGUAAAAUGAGGGCAUUGCUACAGAAGUUCCAGAAGGUGCCAUUCAGCUCUGGCAUUCUAUGAAGGUGGCUUCUUACCCACUGAGCGGUUGCUGUAGAGACAAGAGCUUACACAGAGCUUGGCACAGAAUGGAGAGUCGCAUGUGUGAUCAGAGAUUCUUCCAGCUGCCUUGGGAGGAGCCAGAAAAAGACUAAAACAAACCUGAGAUAUACCACACCCCACCACACACACACACGACUCUUAUUUUCUUUCUUUCCUUUCUAUUACCAUAUCUCUAUCUUUAGCACCCCAUUCCCUGUUUAAUUUUAUUGUUGCUGUUAUCUUUUCUUCCUUCCUCCCCUUCUUCCAUUCUUCAGGUUUUCUUCCUUUCUUUCCAUUCUAUAACCCUUCCCCCCGACCCGAUUCAUUUAACAAAUAUAUCCUCACUCAUAAGACACCUCUUCUCUUUCUUAUGACAUGGAUUAAAGAUAGUGAUGAAGUCAGGUUGUUCCUAACAGCAGCCUCUCUCAUUGACUUUAUUGCUCUUGAGCAAAUAAAGAGAGUCUCAAGAGCUUACAUUCUUCAGUGCAAGAAUAUUAUUCCCAGAUCUUUGAAACAGCAUCAAAAACAACAUUCCCCUCCCCAGCUCUCAGUCUCAAGCACUGGCUCACAUCUGCUUGAAGAGGAUUCUAGCAUGGGCUGUUUCUUUCUCUUUGGUAGGAGACCCACUGUUGGAGUAUGAAAUCCUCCCACACUGGUGAACAACACAGGAAUAGGAGACGCAGCAGGAAGAUUACUGAGGUCCUUGAAAUCCAGCCAGAAGGACUGCUGGUCCACGGUGAUGGCAACAGAGACAAAAGGUGGUGAACACAUUGGUAAUGCAUGGUGAAGACAGAGAUGGCAAGUUCUACCCAAUAUGCACAUCACUCACAUCAACAGCCCUCUACUCAGGGAGGAACUGGAGAACAGAAUAUUCCCUGGGCAACUCUGUCUUUCCCUGCUGCUUCUUUUCCAGCCCCAUUAGACCUAAUGAUCUCCCAUCCUUCACUUUUAUUUAAAUAAAGGAAGUGUCACACAUAGGGAAAAUUAUCUGCAGAGAAUACCAUUAGCAAUGGAACACCUAACAAUUAUUUCCUAAGAUAAUGUUGUUCAACAGCUACGCCCUUGAGAACUGGUGGUUGGCAACGGUCUGCUCUGAGUUCUAACGUGAAAUGAAAGUCCGCGAAGGUCUCAGGUGGAAGCCUGACCCAUGCACAUCUCUUCCAGGGAAAAGAGAGCUCUCCCUGGAGGCCAGAAAACAUUUACAGGAAUAAUUUACCGUCUCUGACACAGAUCUGCCACUAUCAUCUCUACGGACCAAAAACACCAAUUAUGAGCCAAGAUGUCAAAGAGCUUCUCUCAACCAUCACUGUGGCUGCCUUUCUAAUCCCUAAUAUCUCACCAUAGCGUUGCCCAAUAAUUUGAGUUAAUUUAACAGUCAGUGUCUAGCACUAAAGUGAAAUUAUAUCUGUGAGUUGAUUCAG